AUACGGAGGAUCCGAGCGUUAUCCGGAUUUAUUGGGUUUAAAGGGAGCGUAGGUGGACAGUUAAGUCAGUUGUGAAAGUUUGCGGCUCAACCGUAAAAUUGCAGUUGAUACUGGUUGUCUUGAGUACAGUAGAGGUGGGCGGAAUUCGUGGUGUAGCGGUGAAAUGCUUAGAUAUCACGAAGAACUCCGAUUGCGAAGGCAGCUCACUGGACUGCAACUGACACUGAUGCUCGAAAGUGUGGGUAUCAAACAGGAUUAGAUACCCUGGUAGUCCACACAGUAAACGAUGAAUACUCGCUGUUUGCGAUAUACAGUAAGCGGCCAAGCGAAAGCAUUAAGUAUUCCACCUGGGGAGUACGCCGGCAACGGUGAAACUCAAAGGAAUUGACGG
rnacentral:rRNA from 1 species